AAAGAGAGUGCUUCAACUCUUUUGUACUAUCAAUGCCUCUCUAAUUUCAUCAUGUGGGUGAAGUGUAAUUAACAUAAAGAAAUAGUAAAAACUUUGGUUGAAGGAAAUGCUUAUGAAAUUUUUUUUUACUCACAAAUCUCAUGACACCUCCUUUUUGUAUAAUGACAUUUAUUUUCUUAGAGGUUAAGGGCUACUAUUUGUUCGCCUUUUUUCUGAUCUGAUGUACUAUCCUUCUCUGAUAUACUUGUAGUUGUACUGAUGAAGGAUGGCAAACCUUGUAACAAUAAUGAUAUUUGACAAAUGCAAUUGAAUAGCUAGUUCAACAUUUAAUAUAUCCUUUAUUUCACAGAUAUAACCGUAUGUUUUGCCAUUAUUCUGUCUCAGCUUACCUCUUCUUUUUUUCCUUCCCUUCGCUUCUCUGUGGUAUGUUUGCUUGUGCUUGUUGAUGGGUUGGAUGGAAUGUAACUUCAACAUGUUAGGUGCGGGAAUUGUGUCGUCAAGUGUACCACCAUCAUGAGAUAAUGACAAAUAACAAGGGGAGGGUGGGAGAGAGAGACAGACAGACAGAGACAGAGACUUGCUGUGAACAUAGAGGAUGACUAUUAAACUUCAACUAAUGUUAUGAACUGUAAAAAAAAGUGCGUACAAAAUCUGGCCGAUGAGCUUUAUAUAGAGUAUGGUGUCAUUGUCAUGCAGGAAUUGAUGCAUUAAUUAUCUACUUCACAAUUCCGAGAAAUUCUCUAUAACUAUUGAUGUGAUUUGUUCUAAACUUAUAGUAACAAAUCUCUGUUUUUAAUCUCUUCUUUUAUAUAAUUUUUUGGCAUUUUGACAUUUUAAUGUUUGUCCUACAUUAUGCUAUUUUCUGGUUAAGUGAAAUUAAUGUGUGUUCUUUAUGGUCAUUCGUAUGUUAAUAAUUCUUGACUUGGAAUUAUUUGUUGUUUUUGUCUUGGUCGGUGGCUGGAUUGAAUUUUUUGGUUGCCAAGAGAAGGCCUGCAUCAGUUGUACUUAACUUUAUUUUUCGUUACAUUCAAAGUCUAAUUGAACUUGAUUUGCUAAAAUGGUUGAGAUUAUGCGGAGAAGAUCAAUGAGAUGUCUCCACAUCUGGCACUGCGACAUGAGAACAACACUUUUGGUUCUGAUCUCAAAGAAAAACUUUGAAGGCCAAAUUGCACACUGGCACUUAGUACUCUUCACCAAAUGUCUAUCAAAUAGAUGAGUUAUCCUGUCACUUCUGGAAUAUUGACUAUUCUUUUCUGUCAUACAAGUUUGAUGUUUCUAUGGCCUUAGUUAUGGAGAAACAAAUAUAAAGAAUCAAAAGGAAAACCAAGAGCAAAAUGGACUAUUCGAUAUUUUCAAAAGGCAUGCCAAAAUUGAGGCUUAUGAUAGAUGGAAAGGUGCAGGUUCUCUCGUUACUCCUGCAAAGAUUGAAGAAGCCACAGGGUAGUCAGCUGAUGGACAGGGAGGAUUAUCUUUCCAGUAAGAGGAUUGCUGAGGAAGCAGAAUCUGCAUUUGCUGCAAAGGCAUUAUUAAAGAGGGUGGUGAUGAAGAUAGAAAGAGAAGAAAAAAGAACAAAGAAGUGGCCGAGGUAGAGACAAGUGAUCUGCAGAUUUCUGAUGAAAUCACUGUAGAUGAAGCAAAGGAAAUAAAGGGGCAUCCAGUGCAUGAGGCUCCCGCCAAUGUGGGUUCUACGAGGAUCAACGUAUGCAGCCUUCCCUUUAAAUGUUUAAAGAGGCUUGUCUUUCGGGCCGUAAGGGCAUAACCUCAUCGUUGUACCAAGGCCCGCCCUUAUGAAGUCGAAGAAAUGCAGAUAAAAAGAAGAAAAGAUAGAGAAUGAUAUGACAUGUAGAGAAUUAAGAUCUUCCGCACCACUGGUUGAAGAGGACUGCAGCAGAAAAAAAAUGUAAGAACAAGCAGACAGGAGCAGGGAGCAGCUGAUUCUUCAAGGAAGAGAAAGGAAAAAAGAAAGGCACGAAAGUCAACUGAUUGGGCUUGGGAUACAGAUGCAGGGAACUUAAUGCAUGCUUCAACAAUGGUCCUCCAAUUUUGGUUUCUACUUGCUAAUCGAGUCCCAAAGAUUGCAAAGUCAUUCUCUUAAUUGCUACUACUGAAAGAUCUGCCAAAGUCAUGGAUACGAUUACGAUAUCAAAUAUAAUAGUAACAGUUAUGUUGAAUGAUCUCUAUGUGACACAGCAGAUCGAAACAUCACACAACAUACUUGGAACAUCAAGGUUGAAGGCUGCUGCAAUCCCUCAGCAGCAGCGACUGGGGCAAACGGUGACCAUCGCACGUCGACGGGGUGGUUGGCUGCAGAUGAGUAUCAGCACUAACGCAAUGAUGACUGCAACAAGGAAGCCCAUCAUGUCUAUCCCACCAUUUCCAUCAUCAUCAUCUGCUGCUCCACAGCAAAUUUUCCCCAUAGGAGAAGGCAGAGAGAGAGAGAGAGAGAGAGAGAG